rnacentral:tRNA from 1 species
UGGGGUAUGGCUCAAGUGAUAGAGCACCUGCCUAGCAAGCACAAAGCCCUGAGUUCAAAUCCCAGUACUGUAA